GGAGUAUUGCACAAUGGGCGCAAGCCUGAUGCAGCGACGCCGCGUGCGGGAUGACGGCCUUAGGGUUGUAAACCGCUUUCAGCAGGGACGAAAUUGACGGUACCUGCAGAAGAAGCCCCGGCCAACUACGUGCCAGCAGCCGCGGUAAUACGUAGGGGGCAAGCGUUGUCCGGAUUUAUUGGGCGUAAAGAGCUCGUAGGCGGUCUGGUAAGUCGGAUGUGAAAUCUCCACGCUUAACGUGGAGGG
rnacentral:rRNA from 1 species